GACGAACGCUGGCGGCGUGCCUAAUACAUGCAAGUCGAACGAAACUUUCUUACACCGAAUGCUUGCAUUCACCGUAAGAAGUUGAGUGGCGGACGGGUGAGUAACACGUGGGUAACCUGCCUAAAAGAAGGGGAUAACACUUGGAAACAGGUGCUAAUAUCGUAUAUCUCUAAGGAUCGCAUGAUCCUUAGAUGAAAGAUGGUUCUGCUAUUGCUUUUAGAUGGACCCGCGGCGUAUUAACUAGUUGGUGGGGUAACGGCCUACCAAGGUGAUGAUACGUAGCCGAACUGAGAGGUUGAUCGGCCACAUUGGGACUGAGACACGGCCCAAACUCCUACGGGAGGCAGCAGUAGGGAAUCUUCCACAAUGGACGCAAGUCUGAUGGAGCAACGCCGCGUGAGUGAAGAAGGUCUUCGGAUCGUAAAACUCUGUUGUUAGAGAAGAACACGAGUGAGAGUAACUGUUCAUUCGAUGACGGUAUCUAACCAGCAAGUCACGGCUAACUACGUGCCAGCCGCCGCAGUAACAC
rnacentral:rRNA from 1 species